AAAAAGCACUAGUUCUGAUCAAAUCCUCAAAGUGGCUUUCACUCCGGACGGCAGUCAUCUCGGGGCCCUUCUGAGCAAGUCCGUCUUAGUUUUUCGGAGAAUUGAAGAUCAGAAUAUAAUUAAGGACUGGUUGAUGAAGUUUAGUAUAAAGAAGAAUUCUGAAUGUCGUCAUUUUUUGAGCCUUUCUUUUUCCAGCGCUUAUCUGAUAGUUUCUGGUCACUUUACCUCGGAAGUUUUUAGGUUUGCUGGUUGUUUAUUGGUUCCCAUAUUUGUAAUAUUUUUUUAUGAAAGAUUAUAUUCUUUGGAAAAUGGGCAGAAUUUACUGAUUACGCAGAAUUUAUUGUUAUUAAAAGAGCCAUUGAACUAUAAUAAUAAUAAUAAUAAUAAUAAUAAUAAUAAUAAUAAUAAUAAUAAAAGCGUAGAGGCUUAC